rnacentral:tRNA from 1 species
GUCUCAGAUAGCUCAACUGGAAGCGCCUUUGAUGCGUAACCAAAAGAUCCGGGUUCGAUUCCCGGCCGGGGCU